AUGUGUGUCGACUUCACCAAUCUCAACAAAGCAUGCCCGCAAGAUCCGUUCCCGCUCCCCCGCAUCGACCAGAUCGUCGAUUCCACUGCGGAAUGCGACCUGUUAUGCUUUUUGGAUGCCUUCUCUGGGUAUCACCAGAUCAAGAUGGCGGUAGAAGACGUCGAGAAGGCAGCCUUCCUAACCCCGUGUGGGGUGUACUGCUACACAUGCAUGCCAUUUGGGCUGCGUAACGCAGGGGCGACCUUCCAGCGGCUGAUGCACAUCACCUUGGGCCCGCAGCUCGGGAAGAAUGUUGAAGCUUACGUCGAUGACAUUGUGGUAAAGUCUCAGGAGGCCGGGACCUUGAUCCAAGACUUGGAGGAAACCUUCGCGAGCCUCAAUGCAGUGAACCUACGUCUCAACCCAGAGAAGUGUGUGUUCGGAGUCCCCUCGGGCAAGCUCUUGGGUUUCCUCGUGUCCCACCGAGGCAUCGAGGCUAACCCAGAGAAGGUCAAGACGGCGGAAGACAUGAGCCCGCCAAAGACCCUUAGAGAAAUGCAGAAGCUCACGGGGCGCGUGACCGCGCUAGGGCGCUUCAUAUCCAAGUUGGGGGAACGAGCACUGCCCUUCUUCCAGCUAAUGAUGAAAAAGGGGCCGACAAGGCGUUCCAGGAUCUCAAGAGAUACCUGA
rnacentral:rRNA from 1 species